rnacentral:lncRNA from 1 species
AUUUGAGAACUAGGCUGUUUGUCAGGUUUUGGGAAAUUAAUCUUCUUUGACUCCUGCCCUAUUUCUUCAUGUACUGAUUUAGUGCCUAAAAAGGAACCACCAGAAUCACAUUUCCUUCUUCAUAUUUCAAAGUGUUUUUCUUGCAAGUCCUUCCCUACAAAAUCACCAAAAGCCAGAAAGCUUUGGGCUCUAAGGAGGGCCUGAUUCUGCGGCUCUCUUUCCCCUAGUUUAAGUUACAUCUGAUAGCUAAGAUACAAAAGGCUCACAUUUUAGAAAUCCAAUUUACACCAGUAAAUCUGUAAGACAAUAGCUGGUUACUUUAUACCUACCGAUCUCCCUUUCGGCAUAUUUGUUCCCUCCAGCUAGUUCAAAAUGCUGCUGCUAUCAACCUCUUCCCUGCCAGAUAACGCUGAGGCCCAAGUCCCUCUGAAUUCUCUCCUUGCUCCUUUAGAAGGCUCACCCUAGUUCUCUAACGGCCCUCGUCUGACCUCUCACCCCUCUACCACCUCCCACCACAGAGGAACUGGAUGGCCACUCAAGGUCUCCAAAGGGACAUGUGCGUAUCCUGCCAAGGUUCUGUUGAACUUGGGAAGGCAGAGAGGAGGCCAAGCAGUAUCAGACAGGACAGAACGCUCUGCUCACCGGCACAGUAAGCUGGAUGAGAGCAUCGUCUUUGGAAUUAGGGAGGGUUGAGUUUGGGCUCUGUCCCAUCCCAGCUGUGAUCCCCUGGGCAUGGCAUUUACCUUCUCCGAGUCUCAGUUACACCAGCCCUUAAAAAGGGGUGGUGCUGAUAGCAGUACCGGUUCUCAGAUCAAUGAGGAUUAAAUGGGCUAAGGACCGCUCAGAGGCACUGUGAACAGAGAGCACUCAGGUGGGCAGGAAAGACGCCUGAAACUGUCCCCACAGGCACCUCCAGCCCUGAGAGCACAAAUACUGAGUUCUUCCCCUACCUCUUCCUACUUCACAGCCUGCGUUCGCCCAAGCCCCUCUGCUUCAACAAACCCUUUCCUCCCCACACUCAGAAGCGCUUCUUCCAUUUUCUGAGUUUCGAUGAGAACUCUGACCACUUCUCCCUUUUCUGCAGGGCUGCGCCAUCCACACGGAACUCAGCAGCGUCUUGUGCACUGGGUCCCAAACAGGCUACCUCGCUUUGGGACCUGCACCGCCUGAGCUGGAGUCUGAUCACAAGGUUGAGAGCCACGGUUGUAGAAACUGCGUCCCCACAUCACUGUUACGUUUCUACUGAGAAAGCAGACUGGAAACACACAUGCAAGUCUUGCCUGACAGCUCCAUGUGUGACAGGCACCUUCAAGACUUGGACCUGACUACCUGUGACCAACAGGGUAAGUCACACACUCUACACUUUAGCUUCCUCUGCUCUAAGGUGGAGAUAAUUAUACCAAAAAUUUAGGGCUGCUGUAAGAAUUCAGGUACCUAAUGCAUACCUAGUGCUUAGCCCAGUGCCUGGCACAUGGUGAAGUAUUCAGAAACUUCGAGCUAUUACGAAUAAAUAUAUACAGCCGGAGUCCA